ensembl:lncRNA
GUUGAACUUUUUCAACUGACGAAGGAAGUACAACCUCUGCUGGGCCUUUUUCACAAUGGAGUCAAUGUGAAUGUCCCACUUCAGGUCCUGAGAGAUGGUUGUGCCCAGGAACCUGAAGGACUGCACUGCAGCCACAGUGCUGUUCAUGAUGGGGCGGCGGGAACAUCUGUACUGCCCGACGAACUGGGAACAGUGUCGAGAUUCUGGAUGAACUGACCUUUUCAACAUCCUGCCUUCAAACAAUGCACUGCAUCCAUCUGGAUGAUGUUAACACUCCGACUGCACGUAACUACCAACCACAGCAAUGCAAGACAUCCAGU